UCCGGGUGCAGUAGCAUAUACCUGUAGUCCCAGCUACUCGGGAGGCUGAGGUGGGAGGAUCACUUGAGCCCAGGAGUUCUGGGCUGUAGUGCACUAUGCCAGUCGGGUGUCUGCACUAAGUUCAGCAUCAAUAUGGUGACCUCCCGGGAGCGGGGGACCACCAGGUGGCCUAAGGAGGGGUGAACCGGCCCAGGUCAGAAACGGAGCAGGUCAAAACUCCCGUGCUGAUCAGUAGUGGGAUCACGCCUGUGAAUAGCCAUUGCACUCCAGCCUGGGCAACAUAGCGAGACCCGGUCUCU
rnacentral:SRP_RNA from 1 species